GUCUAUGAUCAUACCAUCCUGAACGUGCCUGAUCUCUUCUGAUCUUGGAAACUAAGCAGAGUUGGGCCUGUUUAGUACUUGGAUGGGAGACAUAUCAGGAAUUCCACUUUUUGCUUUUU
rnacentral:rRNA from 1 species